AACGAACGCUGGCGGCAGGCCUAACACAUGCAAGUCGAACGCUCCGCAAGGAGAGUGGCAGACGGGUGAGUAACACGUGGGAAUCUUCCUAUCGGUGGGGAAUAGCUCAGGGAAAAUUGGGGUAAUACCGCAUACGCCCGUGAGGGGAAAGAUUUAUCGCCGAUAGAUGAGCCCGCGUCUGAUUAGCUAGUUGGUGGGGUACUGGCCCACCAAGGCGACGAUCAGUAGCUGGUUUGAGAGAAUGACCAGCCACACUGAGACUGAGACGCGGCCCAGACUCCUACGGGAGGCAGGAGUGGGGAAUCUUGGACAAUGGGCGCAAGCCUGAUCCAGCCAUGCCGCGUGAGUGACGAAGGUCUUCGGAUUGUAAAGCUCUUUUAGCAGGGACGAUAAUGACGGUACCUGCAGAAUAAGCCCCGGCUAACUUCGUGCCAGCCGCCGCAGUAA
rnacentral:rRNA from 1 species